rfam:Schistosoma mansoni strain Puerto Rico chromosome 1, complete genome
ACCUAGGUGACGAGUUUGAAAUAGGACGAAAUGUGCGUCCUGGAU